AUUGAACGCUGGCGGAAUGCUUUACACAUGCAAGUCGAACGGCAGCACGGACUUCGGUCUGGUGGCGAGUGGCGAACGGGUGAGUAAUACAUCGGAACGUGCCCAGUCGUGGGGGAUAACGUAGCGAAAGCUACGCUAAUACCGCAUACGAGCUACGGAUGAAAGCGGGGGAUCGCAAAACCGCGCGGCAUGGGAAGGGCGCAUGGCAGAUUAGGGAGUUGGUGGGGUAAAGGCUCACCAAGCCGACGAUCUGUAGCUGGUCUGAGAGGACGACCAGCCACACUGGGACUGAGACACGGCCCAGACUCCUACGGGAGGCAGCAGUGGGGAAUUUUGGACAAUGGGCGCAAGCCUGAUCCAGCCAUUCCGCGUGCAGGAUGAAGGCCCUCGGGUUGUAAACUGCUUUUGUACGGAACGAAAAGGCUCUGGUUAAUACCCGGGGCUCAUGACGGUACCGUAAGAAUAAGCACCGGCUAACUACGUGCCAGCAGCCGCCGUAA
rnacentral:rRNA from 1 species